AUGUCUAGUCUCCAUGGGCCGGAC
rnacentral:siRNA from 1 species